rnacentral:lncRNA from 1 species
CUUGACAUACUCCCUCACGGUUCCCUUGUGCUUUAAUUGCCGAAGCGAUUCCCUUGCAAUCCAGCCCACGUUGCAAGGUAGGAAUUGCUCUUUCAAUUCCCGUUUCAGCACCUCCCAAGUCUCGAUCUUGACUCGGUUGGCACUUGCAUCGUCUGACAAACGAGCACGCCACCACAAUUUUGCAUCGCCCACAAGAUACAUACUUGUAAUGGUCACUUUCUCGCGAUCCGGAACCUUCGCUGCCUCGAAGUAAUUCUCCAUAUCCCACACGAAGUUUUCGACUUCUUUGGCGCUGCGUACACCAUCAAACGCAGUCGGUUCCGGCACACGAAC